rnacentral:rRNA from 1 species
CAACUUUCAACAACGGAUCUCUUGGCUCUCGCAUCGAUGAAGAACGCAGCGAAAUGCGAUAAGUAAUGUGAAUUGCAGAAUUCAGUGAAUCAUUGAAUCUUUGAACGCACCUUGCGCCCCUUGGUAUUCCGAGGGGCAUGCCUGUUUGAGUGUCAUUA